rnacentral:rRNA from 1 species
AUCAUUAACUGAAUCCAUAGGUUAAUGAGGCGAACCGGGGGAACUGAAACAUCUAAGUACCCCGAGGAAAAGAAAUCAACCGAGAUUCCCCCAGUAGCGGCGAGCGAACGGGGAGGAGCCCAGAGCCUGAAUCAGCAUGUGUGUUAGUGGAAGCGUCUGGAAAGGCGCGCGAUACAGGGUGACAGCCCCGUACACAAAAGCGCAUGUGCUGUGAGCUCGAUGAGUAGGGCGGGACACGUGGUAUCCUGUCUGAAUAUGGGGGGACCAUCCUCCAAGGCUAAAUACUCCUGACUGACCGAUAGUGAACCAGUACCGUGAGGGAAA